UACGUAGGGGGCGAGCGUUGUCCGAAGUUACUGGGCGUAAAGCGCGCGUAGGCGGGUCUUUAAGUGAGGGGUGAAAGGUUCAGGGCUCAACCCGGACACUGCCUUUCAUACUGGAGACCUUGAGUGCGGGAGGGGCGAGUGGAAUGGUCGGUGUAGCGGUGAAAUGCGUAGAUAUCGAUCGGAACACCCAUGGCGAAGGCAGCUCGCUGGCCUGCAACUGACGCUGAGGCGCGAAAGCGUGGGGAGCAAACAGG
rnacentral:rRNA from 1 species